CCUACGGGAGGCAGCAGUGGGGAAUAUUGCACAAUGGGGGAAACCCUGAUGCAGCGACGCCGCGUGAGUGAAGAAGUAUUUCGGUAUGUAAAGCUCUAUCAGCAGGGAAGAAAAUGACGGUACCUGAUUAAGAAGCCCCGGCUAACUACGUGCCAGCAGCCGCGGUCAUACGUAGGGGGCAAGCGUUAUCAGGAUUUACUGGGUGUAAAGGGAGCGUAGACGGCAGCACAAGUCUGGAGUGAAAUGCCGGGGCUUAACCCUGGAACUGCUUUGGAAACUGUGCAGCUAGAGUGCAGGAGAGGUAAGUGGAAGUCGUAGUGUAGCGGUGAAAUGCGUAGAUAUCAGGAGGAACACCAGUGGCGAAGGCGGCUUACUGGACUGUAACUGACGUUGAGGCUCGAAAGCGUGGGGAGCAAACAGGAUUAGAUACCCGAGUAGUC
rnacentral:rRNA from 1 species